rnacentral:rRNA from 1 species
CCGUCAAUGGGCGAAAGCCUGACGGAGCAAGACCGCGUGAGGGAAGAAGGUCUGUGGAUUGUAAACCUCUUUUGAUAGGGAAGAAGUUCUGACGGUACCUAUCGAAUCAGCCUCGGCUAACUCCGUGCCAGCAGCCGCGGUAAUACGGAGAGGCAAGCGUUAUCCGGAAUUAUUGGGCGUAAAGCGUCCGUAGGUGGAUGUUCAAGUCUUCUGUCAAAGCGCGGAGCUUAACUCCGUAAAGGCAGAGGAAACUGAGCGUCUAGAGUGCGAUAGGGGCAAGGGGAAUUCCCAGUGUAGCGGUGAAAUGCGUAGAUAUUGGGAAGAACACCGGUGGCGAAAGCGCCUUGCUGGGUCUGCACUGACACUGAGGGACGAAAGCUAGGGGAGCGGAAGGGAUUAGAUACCCCUGUAGUCCUAGCUGUAAACGAUGGGUACUAGGCGUUGUCCGUAUCGACCCGGGCAGUGCCGUAGCUAACGCGUUAAGUACCCCGCCUGGGGAGUACGCUCGCAAGAGUG